rnacentral:rRNA from 1 species
ACCGACACAGGUGGUCAGGUAGAGAAUACCAAGGCGCUUGAGAGAACUCGGGUGAAGGAACUAGGCAAAAUGGUGCCGUAACUUCGGGAGAAGGCACGCUGGUGUGUAGGUGAAGUCCCUGCGGAUG